UACGAAGGGGGCUAGCGUUGCUCGGAAUCACUGGGCGUAAAGCGCACGUAGGCGGACUCUUAAGUCGGUGGUGAAAUCCUGGAGCUCAACUCCAGAACUGCCUCCGAUACUGGGAGUCUUGAGUCCGGGAGAGGUGAGUGGAACUGCGAGUGUAGAGGUGAAAUUCGUAGAUAUUCGCAAGAACACCAGUGGCGAAGGCGGCUCACUGGCCCGGUACUGACGCUGAGGUGCGAAAGCAUAGGGAGCAAACAGG
rnacentral:rRNA from 1 species